CACUGAGCGAUUCCAAGCAACAGCAUCAAAAUUAAGGAAAUUUUUUAAUUCAUGAUUUUCUAUUGAACUGAAACUUUGCACAGUUUUUCAGUUCCAUCUAAAUCGCCAUUUUCCGAUAUCAAAUUUUUAUUUUGAAUCACGACUAACUUUUCAAAAGGCCAAAAUGGUUCGUUCGAUUGCUAUGAAUUUUUCAGCAAAGUUAGAUAGCUAAAUGGUGAUUCCUAAGAAAAUAUACACUGUAAAAAAAAAUCUUUUUCAACAUUAAAAAAUAUCAUUUUUGUCACAAAAACUCAAAUAUCUCAAAACCCUAUCUUUUUACCAACGUAAUUUUUUUAGGGAAGACGGUCCAUUGUAUUAGCAAUCUACCAUAAAAAUUUGGUGAUGGUAAACUAAUAAACAAAAAAGUUAUAACAUUUCAAACAUUUCUCAAUUUUCACAUUUGGUAAAUAUUUUUUUUCUGUGUAAAUAAUUUCGGUCAGAAAUCGCAGUUUGAUGCUGAUUUUAUUGUUCAGCAAAGUUAGGUAACUAAAUGGUGAUUCCUAAGAAAAUAUACACUGUGAAAAAAAUCGUUUUUUUUAACAUUAAAAAAUAUCAUUUUUGUCACAAAAACUCAAAUAUCUCAAAACCCUAUCUUUUUACCAACGUAAUUUUUUAGGGAAAACGGUCCAUUGUAUUAGCAAUCUACCAUAAAAAUUUGGUGAUGAUGAACUAAUUAACAAAAAAGUUAUGACAAUUCAAACAUUUCACAAUUUUCUCAUUUAGUAAUAUUUUUUUUUAGUGUAAAUUAUUUCGGCCGGAAAUCGCAGUUUGAUGCUGAUUUUAUUGUUAAUGGCCUUGCGUGAGUUAAACAAGCUGUUUUUAUUAUGUAUUAUGUAUAUUAUAUGUACAGUAAUGUUCCGAUUAUAUCACGCCCUCCGCGCAUUAGUCGUUUAGUCAUUAAUUUGCUGUUACAUUUGAGGACAAGUGUUUUCCAUCUUCUUCAAGAUGAAUGUUGAAAGCGUGCUUUGCAACGUUAAACAUAUUGAAAUGGGUAUAGAUGUUGAAGUAUAUUUCGAA